rnacentral:rRNA from 1 species
GACGAACGCUGGCGGCGUGCUUAACACAUGCAAGUCGAACGGAAAGGCCUGCUUUCCCUUGUGGAUUGCGGGUACUCGAGUGGCGAACGGGUGAGUACCACGUGAGUGCUCUGCCCCCAACUUGGUUCUAAGCCUGGGAAACUGGGUCUAAUUUCCGCUAGGACUGCAGGGUGGUGCCUUUGGUGGAAAACGAUUUUCUAGUGGUUGGGGAUGAGCUCGCGGCCUAUCAGCUUGUUGGUGGGGUAAUGGCCUACCAAGGCGGCGACGGGUAGCCGGCCUGAGAGGGUGGACGGGCACAGUGGGACUGAGAGACGGCCCAGAGUCCGACGGGAGGCAGCAGUGGGGAAUAGUGCAAAAUGGGCGGAAGCCUGAUGCAGGGGCGCCGGGUGGGGGAUGACGGCCUGCGGGAUGUAAGCUCCUUUCGGCCGCGAGGAAGCCACCUGGUUGGAAGGGUGGUGACGGUAGUGGUAGAAGAAGCACCGGCUAACUACGUG